rnacentral:rRNA from 1 species
UACGUAGGGUCCGAGCGUUGUCCGGAGUUACUGGGCGUAAAGCGCGCGCAGGCGGCGGUGUUGGCCCGGCGUGAAAGCCCCCGGCUCAACCGGGGAGAGUCGUCGGGGACCGCACCGCUUGAGGGCGGUAGGGGCUGGUGGAAUGCCUGGUGUAGUGGUGAAAUGCGUAGAUAUCGGAAGGAACAUCAGUGGCGAAAGCGACUUCCUGGACCAAUACUGACGCUCAUGUGCGAAAGCGUGGGGAGCAAACAGG